rnacentral:rRNA from 1 species
AACGUAGGAGGCGAGCGUUAUCCGGAUUUAUUGGGCGUAAAGCGCAUGCAGGCGGUUUACUAAGUCGGACGUGAAAGCUCCUGGCUCAACUAGGAGAGGUUGUUCGAAACUGGAAAACUUGAGGAUGGUAGAGGUGAGUGGAAUUCCCGGUGUAGUGGUGAAAUGCGUAGAUAUCGGGAGGAACACCAGUGGCGAAGGCGGCUCACUGGGCCAUUCCUGACGCUCAGAUGCGAAAGCUAGGGGAGAGAACGGG